rnacentral:rRNA from 1 species
GAUGAACGCUAGCGGGAGGCUUAACACAUGCAAGUCGAGGGGUAACGAGAGGAAAGCUUGCUUUCCUUGUCGACGACCGGCGCGCGGGUGAGUAACGCGUAUCCAACCUGCCCCCAACUAAGGAAUAACCUUGCGAAAGUAAGACUAAUACCUUAUACUUUCCUCAGAUGACAUCUGACGAGGAAUAAAGAUUUAUCGGUUGUGUAUGGGGAUGCGUCUGAGUAGCUUGUUGGCGGGGUAACGGCCCACCAAGGCAACGAUCAGUAGGGGUUCUGAGAGGAAGGUCCCCCACAUUGGAACUGAGACACGGUCCAAACUCCUACGGGAGGCAGCAGUGAGGAAUAUUGGUCAAUGGGCGGAAGCCUGAACCAGCCAAGUAGCGUGCAGGAUGACGGCCCUAUGGGUUGUAAACUGCUUUUAUACAGGAAUAAAGUUAGCCACGUGUGGUUAUUUGUAGGUACUGUAUGAAUAAGGACCGGCUAAUUCCGUGCCAGCCGCCGCAGUAA